rnacentral:rRNA from 1 species
UGACGAACGCUGGCGGCGUGCCUAAUACAUGCAAGUCGAGCGGAUCUUCAUUAGCUUGCUUUUGAAGAUCAGCGGCGGACGGGUGAGUAACACGUGGGCAACCUGCCUGUAAGACUGGGAUAACUUCGGGAAACCGGAGCUAAUACCGGAUAAUCCUUUCCCUCUCAUGAGGGAAAGUUGAAAGACGGUUUCGGCUGUCACUUACAGAUGGGCCCGCGGCGCAUUAGCUAGUUGGUGAGGUAACGGC